rnacentral:rRNA from 2 species
AGCAUGUGGUUUAAUUCGAAGCAACGCGAAGAACCUUACCAGGUCUUGACAUCUUCUGCUAAGCUGAGAGAUCAGCCGUUCCUUCGGGGACAGAAUGACAGGUGGUGCAUGGUUGUCGUCAGCUCGUGUCGUGAGAUGUUCGGUUAAGUCCCGCAACAAGCGCAACCCUUAUUAUUAGUUGCCAUCAUUCAGUUGGGCACUCUAGUCAGACUGCCGGUGACAAACCGGAGGAAGGUGGGGAUGACGUCAAAUCAUCAUGCCCCUUAUGACCUGGGCUACACACGUGCUACAAUGGGUGGUACAACGAGUCGCGAAACCGCGAGGUCAAGCG